AACGAACACUGGCGGCAUGCCUAACACAUGCAAGUCGAACGAUGCCUUCGGGCAUAGUGGCGCACGGGUGCGUAACGCGUGGGAAUCUGCCCUUGGCUUCGGAAUAACAGUUAGAAAUGACUGCUAAUACCGGAUGUUGUCCCCCUGAGAGAUCUUGGGGACCAAAGAUUUAUCGGCCAGGGAUGAGCCCGCGUAGGAUUAGGUAGUUGGUGGGGUAAAGGCCUACCAAGCCGACGAUCCUUAGCUGGUUUGAGAGGAUGAUCAGCCACACUGGGACUGAGACACGGCCCAGACUCCUACGGGAGGCAGCAGUGGGGAAUAUUGGACAAUGGGGGGAACCCUGAUCCAGCAAUGCCGCGUGAGUGAUGAAGGCCUUAGGGUUGUAAAGCUCUUUUACCAGGGAUGAUAAUGACAGUACCUGGAGAAUAAGCUCCGGCUAACUCCGUG
rnacentral:rRNA from 1 species